CCCCCGCCCACCGCCUCAGCAACCAACCUCCAGGGAGGGGAAAGGGGGCAGAAGUUUGAGUUAAUAACUAAUAGCUAAAGAUGUAAACAAUAAGCCUCCAUAAAACCCCAAAAGGACUGGACUGGUUUCUGAGAGCUUCCAGGUUGUUGAGCACGUGGAGGUUCUGGGAGGGUCCACACCCAGAGAAGGCAUGGAAGCUGACCCCUUCCCCAUACCUUGCUCUUUGCAUCUCUUCCAUUUGGCUGUUCCCGAGUUGUAUACUUUGUAAUAAGUGGGAUUUCCACCCAACAACAAUUCAGCCACACUGCUUCACACAUCUAGAAUCCAUCCAAAAUUGUAAAGGCUUUGUGGCACUACAGUGAAACAGGCAAGAACAUCUUCCAAACAUCCAGCACAAGAGCACACAGGAGGCCGGCAUAAUCACGAAUUGCAGCUGUCUGAAGGGCAGUCACAUAAAAGAGGAGAAGCUUCACCUUUGCUUCACAAGGCACAUCUUGAACCAGGGAUGGAAAUUACAGAGAGGCCAAAACCAGCUCGGUGUGAGCAGGACUGGUAACAGACUGGCCAAGCAACAGAAGGGGCUGCCCUGUGAAGAAGCAAGCUCUCUGUCAAUGGGAGGUGCAAGCUGAGCCUGCACUACCUUUUGUCACGGUUGCUAUGGAAAAGAUUAAGAGCCCGGUAUUAACUAUCUAUUGCUACAUAACAGAAUACCACACAACUUAAAAGCUUAAACAACACAUUUUUAUCAUGUCACAAUGUUUGGGGUCAGGGAUUCUGGAGUGGCUUAGCUGGGUGGGGUCUCCGGGUUGGUCUCUCGUGAGGCUCCAGUCUAGAUGUUGGCUGGGGAUGCAGUCGUCUGUCAGCUUGGCGAGGGCUGGAUGAUCUGCUUCCGGAAUGGCCCACUCACAUGGCUGUGGGAAACAGGCCUCAGCCCCUCUCCAUGUGGCUUCUCCAUAGGGCUGCUUGAGUGUCUGCAUGACAUGGCAGCUGGCUCCCUGAAGAGCACGUGAUCCGAAAGAGAGAGCAAGACAGAAGCGCAGUGUCUUCAACAGCAUAUCUUUGAAAGUCAUAUUCCACCGUUUUCACUACAUUCUAUUGAUAAGAUAGCCCUUCCUCCUCUGGGGGCCUGGGCAUCAGCAAGUCGGAUGGCAGUGGAAGGUGGAGAAAUGGAAUCCUGCUGGGGGCUCAGGAGGCCUGCCCCCUGAUGCUGCCGUGCACUGCAGAUGUCCUUGAUGAAGAGAAUGAAUGGAAGCUGUCUUUCUCAAUGGCAAAAGGGCAUACUGCUGUUAUUGUCAGUGAGGGGUCAGUAGUUUAAAUGAUGAAACUCUGGGGAUCAGCGUAAAGUAAACCAACAUACUGCAUGUAAGUAUCAAGUAAAUGAGCAGAGACAGCCCCUGGUUUACAAACACCUGACUUAAGCAUCGUCCAUCCUACAGGACAGGGAAGGAGGAAGAAGCUUCGAGAGGCUGGAACAGUUGAGGGAGCGCUGACACGGUAAAGGCCACUUUGCUCAUCAUCACCAGGCGUGCUGCCGAAAAUUUCCACUCUGUUUACUCCCAAGACCUUACUCCUACUAUGUGGAGACACAUUUGAAUAAAAAAUUGGCCUCUUUUCAAAGUCAA
ensembl:lncRNA LINC02052 long intergenic non-protein coding RNA 2052